GUAAACUAGGAGACUGGUUUUUUGCAGGUUAACAAACCUUAUCUUCCAUUGGCAUCAGGGGAAUAUUCUGUUACAACCGGCAUUGCGAUAGUAGCUUCCUUCUCCAUCAUGAGUUUCUGGCUGGGGUGGAUAGUUGGUUCGUGGCCAUUGUUCUGGGCCCUUUCCGUGAGUUUCAUACUCGGUACUGCAUAUUCUAUCAAUUUGCCACUGUUACGGUGGAAGAGAUUUGCGUUGGUUGCCGCAAUGUGUAUCC